rnacentral:rRNA from 1 species
UACGUAGGGUGCGAGCGUUGUCCGGAAUUAUUGGGCGUAAAGAGCUUGUAGGCGGUCUGUCGCGUCUGCUGUGAAAAUCCGGGGCUCAACCUCGGGCCUGCAGUGGGCACGGGCAGACUAGAGUGCGGUAGGGGAGAUUGGAAUUCCUGGUGUAGCGGUGGAAUGCGCAGAUAUCAGGAGGAACACCAAUAGCGAAGGCAGCUCGCUGGGACGGUACUGACGCUAAGGCGCGAAAGCGUGGGGAGCGAACAGG